rnacentral:rRNA from 1 species
CCUACGGGUGGCAGCAGUGGGGAAUAUUGGACAAUGGGCGAAAGCCUGAUCCAGCCAUGCCGCGUGUGUGAAGAAGGCCUUCGGGUUGUAAAGCACUUUCAGUGGGGAAGAAAGCCUUGGGGCUAAUACCCUCGAGGAAGGACAUCACCCACAGAAGAAGCACCGGCUAACUCCGUGCCAAGCAGCCGCGGUAAUACGGAGGGUGCGAGCGUUAAUCGGAAUUACUGGGCGUAAAGCGCGCGUAGGCGGUCUGAUAAGCCGGUUGUGAAAGCCCCGGGCUCAACCUGGGAACGGCAUCCGGAACUGUCAGGCUAGAGUGCAGGAGAGGAAGGUAGAAUUCCCGGUGUAGCGGUGAAAUGCGUAGAGAUCGGGAGGAAUACCAGUGGCGAAGGCGGCCUUCUGGACUGACACUGACGCUGAGGUGCGAAAGCGUGGGUAGCAAACAGGAUUAGAUACCCGGGUAGUC